rnacentral:rRNA from 1 species
AUGAUUCGUGGGACGUCCUGCCGGUGGUGGCGAGUCGAAGGCGUGCAGCCUUAGUGGUUUCCACUUUGGGUCUUGUGCGCCGGAGGCGGACCCCGAUGAAAUCCUACCGCGGUGCUCUUUGCCGAGUGUCGAGGUGGGCCGGCACGUUUACUUUGAACAAUUUAGAGUGCUUAAAGCAGGCCUGUUGCGCCUGAAUACUGUGUGCAUGGAAUAAUGGAAUAGGACCUCGGUUCUAUUUUGUUGGUUUUCGGAACCCGAGGUAAUGAUUAAUAGGGACAGGCGGGGGCAUUCGUAUUGCGACGUUAGAGGUGAAAUUCUUGGAUCGUCGCAAGACGGACCGAAGCGAAAGCAUUUGCCAAGUAUGUUUUCAUUAAUCAAGAACGAAAGUUAGAGGUUCGAAGGCGAUCAGAUACCGCCCUAGUUCUAACCAUAAACGAUGCCAGCUAGCGAUCCGCCGAAGUUCCUCCGAUGACUCGGCGGGCAGCUCCCGGGAAAACCAAAGCUUUUGGGUUCCGGGGGGAAGUAUGGUUGCAAAGCUGAAACUUAAAGGAAUUGACGGAAGG